UAAUUAGCAGAAAAAAUUUUUACCCAGAACCCUAACAAAAACCUCUUUAUCAUUAAAAUCCCUUCUCUUAUAUUCUCAGAUCCUGCUGUGAUUCUCUCUAUGAAGAGUAAGCGACGAUCAACAGAAUCCAUGGCCAACAAUUCCACUGCUUCUCCUACUCUUCGCAGCCAUGAUAUCAUCAAAGACAUCAUCUCCAGGCUUCCCGUCAAAUCUAUUAAACGCUUCGAAUCCGUUUGCAAAGCCUGGUACUUCCUCUUCAAUUCCACUGAAUUCAUUUCCAU
rnacentral:misc_RNA from 1 species